rnacentral:rRNA from 1 species
AUGGUAUCAUCGCCUGUUCUCACGAAAAGCAAACUCAUCAGCAUUGGUCGUCCUCUGACGCCAAUUGCUCAGGAUGCAUCGUGGGCUGAUCACCCACAGCAACAAGACUCCCCAAGUACUCCCCAACAACAACAACAAGCUACACCACCCGUGCAAGAAGAAGAUGAAGACUUUGAGGCCCAGCCAACUCCAUCUCCAAAGGCGAUGCCAACAUUUCGCAGGCUUCGCAAAGGACAAAGGCCUCAAGUCCCUCUAUCGAGCGUUCCAGAAGGAGAAGUGCAACACCAACUUGUUGCACGUCAAGUAUUUUCUGAACCCACUCCAACUGUGAAUGUCUCCGUGUCAGAAGCCCAAGCCGCUGAAGACAUUCCGGCUGGAUCAGCCGAUGAGAAUGAAGAAGACGCACGUGUCCCUACUCCCCCCGUUAAUGAAGAAGUUGUUCCUGAUGUGAACGUGUCAGUGCCCGACCCUCCAGCUCGUCAAGUGGAGGAUGAAAAUGUUGAAGCUGCCACCACCAAUGCCAAUGAAGCCAAUGAUGUAGUCAUGGCUGAAGCUAAUGUGGAGCUUGCACCAACCGGUGUGCCUGAAGCCAAUGAGGCAACUGCUCCCGAAGCACCUGUUGUGCAGCCUGAAGCCUUAGCUGUUGCCACUGCUCCUGUUCCGCCACCAAGGCCUCAUACGAUUGAGCAAGCAUACAGUCAUGGUCAGCUAACCACUGUCCGACGGCCCAUUCUGGUAUCACCGCCUACUGCCUCUGGACCACAGUUUGAUUAUCAUGUUGAGAAUAGGCCUCUGGUCUAG